GCGCCGGUGGUGUAAGGCGAACAUCGCUGCCCGGAAAGCAGAAGAUGCGGGUUCGAGUCCCGCCUGGCACA
rfam:Heligmosomoides polygyrus genome assembly, scaffold: HPBE_scaffold0005125